AGGACGAACGCUGGCGGCGUGCCUAAUACAUGCACGUCGAACGCACUGACGUCGACAGAAGGUGCUUGCACUGGAAGUUGAUUGACGUGAGUGGCGGACGGGUGAGUAACACGUGGGUAACCUGCCCUUAAGCGGGGGAUAACAUUUGGAAACAGAUGCUAAUACCGCAUAAAAGUUGAGAUCACAUGGUCUUAAUUUGAAAGACGGCCUUUGGCUGUCACUUAAGGAUGGACCCGCGGCGUAUUAGCUAGUUGGUGAGAUAAUAGCCCACCAAGGCGAUGAUACGUAGCCGACCUGAGAGGGUAAUCGGCCACAUUGGGACUGAGACACGGCCCAAACUCCUACGGGAGGCAGCAGUAGGGAAUCUUCCACAAUGGACGAAAGUCUGAUGGAGCAACGCCGCGUGAGUGAAGAAGGUUUUCGGAUCGUAAAACUCUGUUGUUGGAGAAGAACAGAGACUAGAGUAACUGUUAGUCCUUUGACGGUAUCCAACCAGAAAGCCACGGCUAACUACGUGCCAGCAGCCGCGGUAAUACGUAGGUGGCAAGCGUUGUCCGGAUUUAUUGGGCGUAAAGCGAGCGCAGGCGGUUUCUUAAGUCUGAUGUGAAAGCCUUCGGCUUAACCGAAGAAGUGCAUCAGAUACUGGGAAACUUGAGUGCAGAAGAGGAAAGUGGAACUCCAUGUGUAGCGGUGAAACGCGUAGAUAUAUGGAAGAACACCAGUGGCGAAGGCGGCUUUCUGGUCUGUAACUGACGCUGAGGCUCGAAAGUAUGGGGAGCGAACAGGAUUAGAUACCCUGGUAGUCCAUACCGUAAACGAUGAAUGAUAAGUGUUGGAGGGUUUCCGCCCUUCAGUGCUGCAGCUAACGCAUUAAGCAUUCCGCCUGGGGAGUACGACCGCAAGGUUGAAACUCAAAGGAAUUGACGGGGGCCCGCACAAGCGGUGGAGCAUGUGGUUUAACUCGAAGCUACGCGAAGAACCUUACCAGGUCUUGACAUCUAGCGCCAAUCCUAGAGAUAGGACGUUCCCUUCGGGGACGCUAAGACAGGUGGUGCAUGGUUGUAGUCAGCUCGUGUCGUGAGAUGUUGGGUUAAGUCCCGCAACGAGCGCAACCCUUAUGAUUAGUUGCCAGC
rnacentral:rRNA from 1 species